rnacentral:misc_RNA from 1 species
UUUUCUUGAACUUUCCGUUCUGAAACUGUCUUCUUAGUUUCAUCUCGUAUCUAAACGUUUAUCAACUAAGAAUAGGGGUUUCGCUCGUUUUAGAAUUUAAUCUAACAUUUCACAACGACGAACUGACGACAGCCAUGCAACGCCUGAUGCCCCUCCUCUUCUACUUCGUACUUCUCGUACUUUCCUUCUUGGCAUUUCUAUAUUUGGUAAGGUUCCUCGCGUAAUAUCGAAUUAAACCACAUGCUCCACCGCUUGUUUGUGCUCCCGUCAAUUCCUUUAAGUUUUAGUCUUGCGACCGUACUCCCCAGGCGGAGUGCUUUAUCGUUAAUUUCGCACUCAUCGUUUACCGUAUGGACUAC